GAUAGGCUACUGUUCUUCAACAGCUGCCGUACUUCGGACGACUGACACAUCCGCUUCAGACAUCUUCAUCACGCAUUCUCUGCAAGACGCAAACACAAUGAAGGCUCUUGUUAUCCUCUGUUUUCUCGUACUGCAUGGUGAAGGUAGACGUAUUGAGGGAGGGGUUCCAGGCCCCUGUCCACCUGGAGUCGAGCAGGUCAAGUGUAUGGACCCCUGCUCCCAGGCCACUUGUCCUUCACAUCCAACAGCUGUGUGCAGAUCAAACGACUGCGGAAACUGCACUGCCGAAUUCUUCCUAAAAGUUGAAUGUUAAGAAGCAAGAGCCUCACGUCAGCAUGAGCGAAUAAAAACUGUUACAUCAACUCUGAGA